rnacentral:lncRNA from 1 species
AUGUGGGAUUGUACCUGGGAAACGUCACCCAGGGCUGAACUGCACCCAGAAGCUUCCAGAAGGUUCCCUUUGCUCCGCAGCGAGGUGCUGCUGUUCUCCCCUUUGCUUUUCAACCCCCCCUUAACCCACGGACGAGCUUUCUCUCCCCGUGCCGCCAGGAGAAAUGCCAAAAAACCUCCCAAAUCCUCACACAGGUCCCCAUCCCGCAGCCACCCCCUAAUUUCCCCCUGUGCCCACGUCGUCUCCUCUCCUCCUGCUCCUCCGCAGCACAACCACAAAAAUCCGGGGAGCAGGGCGAGACGGGGCCCCCUGCAGCCUCCCCGUGUCCCCAAACCCCCCGUGUCCCCGUGUCCCCAUGUCCCCAUGGCUGGUGCCUCCCAGACCCCUUGCACGGCAGCACCCCGCAGCACAGCCCCUUCUCCCCCCUGGGUCCCGUGUCUGUACAAUUCUUUUGUUAAUAAGAUUGUGCACAUUCCCAUUAUUUUUUUUUCCACUUUUCAUGUGUUUUUUUUUGGGGUUGUUUUGUCAAUAAAUAAAAUCCCUUUCCAAGUGAGCGCUCGCCUCUCUGCAACCCCUCCAGGGCUCGGCACAGGCGAUGCCCCCGCGAGGGGGGCUCGGGUUUGGCCGUGUGAGGUCGGCACAAACCCUACCCGUGCACCCAGCAGCUCGCAGCGAGCCGGGAACCGAUUUCGGACCCUGCUGGGCUCAGGGGAGGGAUUUGGGGUCUGGCUGUGCUCCCGGCUGGCUUUGGCAGCCCCGGAGGCUGCGGGGUUGGUGCUGUGCAGCUGGACGGGCUCCGCAGCGCUGAUGGCACUCGAUGGGCACAUCCCCUCCAUCCCGUCCCUUCCCUGCUGUCACCCGCUGCCAGGACAGCGGGGAGGAGGCCACGGGGACAGCGGGGUGCCGAGGGCUCUCCCCUUUUCGUGCUGCAUCAGCUGCUUCCCCCCCCCUGUCCUCGGCCGGAGCAGCUGCGGCCCCGCACGGGUCGAUGCCAUCGAUUAG